UACAUGGGGUGCAAACGUUGCUCGGAAUUAUUGGGCGUAAAGCGCACGUAGGCGGUUUGUUAAGUCGGAUGUGAAAUCCCUCGGCUCAACUGAGGAAGUGCAUCCGAAACUGGCAGGCUUGAGUACUAAAGAGGGUCGCGGAAUUCCCGGUGUAGAGGUGAAAUUCGUAGAUAUCAGGAGGAACACCGAUGGCGAAGGCAGAUCUCUGGGCCAUACUGACGCUGAGGAGCGAAAGCAUGGGGAG
rnacentral:rRNA from 1 species